CAGCAGCCGCGGGAAUACCGAGGGUGCAAGCGUUAAUCGGAAUUACUGGGCGUAAAGCGCGCGUAGGUGGUUUGUUAAGUUGGAUGUGAAAUCCCCGGGCUCAACCUGGGAACUGCAUCCAAAACUGGCAAGCUAGAGUAUGGUAGAGGGUGGUGGAAUUUCCUGUGUAGCGGUGAAAUGCGUAGAUAUAGGAAGGAACACCAGUGGCGAAGGCGACCACCUGGACUGAUACUGACACUGAGGUGCGAAAGCGUGGGGAGCAAACAGGAUUAGAUACCCGGGUAGUCCCUGUCUCUUAUAC
rnacentral:rRNA from 1 species